CUGAACUAUCGUUCGCUGCGACUGCUGCUGCUGCGACAGCCUGCCUGCCUGCCUGCCUGCCUUUACGCUGGGCGAAGAAGGCACUUUCGAAAGAUUGGGCUUGCUUUGAAAAAAGAAGCUGAGUUAGAGGCUUCAAAGGUGAGGCUGGAUAGGAAUGGAAAGAAGCCAGGAAGUCCAUGAACUUGCCUUGAAACUGUCAAGCUGCCUUCGAAACGGUCCCUCAUGAAAUAUGAGGAUGGUAUCCCUGACUUAUUAACUUGCUUGUUUGUUUAUAUCCUGCCUUGAUUUUUUAAUAAACAACUCAAGGCAAA